GACGAACGCUGGCGGCGUGCUUAACACAUGCAAGUCGAACGGUAAGGCCCUUCGGGGUACACGAGUGGCGAACGGGUGAGUAACACGUGGGUGAUCUGCCCUGCACUUCGGGAUAAGCCUGGGAAACUGGGUCUAAUACCGGAUAGGACCACUGCCUGCAUGGGUGGUGGUGGAAAGCUUUUGCGGUGUGGGAUGGGCCCGCGGCCUAUCAGCUUGUUGGUGGGGUGAUGGCCUACCAAGGCGACGACGGGUAGCCGGCCUGGGAGGGUGACCGGCCACACUGGGACUGGGAUACGGCCCAGUCUCCUACGGGAGGCAGCAGUGGGGAAUAUUGCACAAUGGGCGCAAGCCUGAUGCAGCGACGCCGCGUGAGGGAUGACGGCCUUCGGGUUGUAAACCUCUUUCAGCACCGACGAAGCGCAAGUGACGGUAGGUGCAGAAGAAGGACCGGCCAACUACGUGCCAGCCGCCGCGGUAA
rnacentral:rRNA from 1 species